rnacentral:rRNA from 1 species
CGGCGGACGGGUGAGUAAUGCCUAGGAAUCUGCCUGGUAGUGGGGGACAACGUUUCGAAAGGAACGCUAAUACCGCAUACGUCCUACGGGAGAAAGUGGGGGAUCUUCGGACCUCACGCUAUCAGAUGAGCCUAGGUCGGAUUAGCUAGUUGGUGGGGUAACGGCUCACCAAGGCGACGAUCCGUAACUGGUCUGAGAGGGUGAUCGGCCACACUGGAACUGAGACACGGUCCAG